rnacentral:lncRNA from 7 species
GACGCCGCCGCCUUCACGUUGCCGGCCACCGUCCUCUUACCGGCCGCCUUGCCGUUCGCGAUGCUCCCGUCGCCCUCGCCAGAGGCCCACUGGUCCGCCCAGGUUGGCGCCUCACCCGGCUUGGAACCCAUGGGAAUCGGUAAAGCUGCAGCUGCAACAACUUGUUGAAUCUACACAUGGCGUUUUGAAUUUCUGUAUAAGUAGAACAGCAGAAGGCUCCAGUUUCCUGGUAGAUCGACGGAACAGUUCAUGGUAAAAAAAAAGAUUUUUUUUUUCCGACAGAGAAUAGAGAUGUUCCUAACUCUGCCUACCCUACCAUCGUCCUAUACAACAGCUUACGGAAUCGAAAGGAAGGGACCUGGGAAUGCGAUUAGGCAAUGCCGAGACUGACAGUUUCAAGUUACCUCUUUUUUUUUCUCCUUCCUUCAGUAGAUAGACAAUUUGGUUGGCUGGCCUUACUCCGGUCUGCUCCAGGGAUAAGCAGACGCCAGACAGGGGUGAGCGAGAGCGAGGGCUUCCCUUCCUGCCUGCUUGUGUGGUGCUGGCUUUGUCUUAUAUAUAUAUGCUACGGGGGAGUAGAAAUUUGGCUUUUUUUUGCUUCACCAACAGGAGAUACUAGCAAAGAUGGAUGCCUCGAUUGCAUUGUUUGAUUUACCUUCCAC